rnacentral:rRNA from 1 species
UGCGUAGGCGGAUAUUCAAGUCGGGUGUGAAAGCCCCGGGCUCAACCUGGGAACUGCAUUCGAUACUGGGUAUCUAGAGUAUGGUAGAGGGAAGUGGAAUUUCCGGUGUAGCGGUGAAAUGCGUAGAUAUCGGAAAGAACACCAAUGGCGAAGGCAGCUUCCUGGACCAAUACUGACGCUGAGGCACGAAAGCGUGGGGAGCAAACA